rnacentral:rRNA from 1 species
UACGUAGGGUGCAAGCGUUGUCCGGAAUUAUUGGGCGUAAAGAGCUCGUAGGCGGUCUGUCGCGUCGGCUGUGAAAACCCGGGGCUCAACCCCGGGCCUGCAGUCGAUACGGGCAGACUAGAGUGCGGUAGGGGAGAUUGGAAUUCCUGGUGUAGCGGUGGAAUGCGCAGAUAUCAGGAGGAACACCGGUGGCGAAGGCGGGUCUCUGGGCAGUAACUGACGCUGGAGGAGCGAAAGCGUGGGGAGCGAACCGG